rnacentral:tRNA from 1 species
GGGAAUUUAGCUCAGUGGUAGAGCACUUGCCUAGCAAGCGCAAGGCCCUGGGUUUAGUCCCCAGAUCCCA